rnacentral:rRNA from 1 species
AGAACUUUGAAGAGAGAGUUCAAGAGUACGUGAAACCGUUCAGGGGUAAACCUGAGAAACCCGAAAGUUCGAAUGGGGAGAUUCAUCCGCAUUGACGCUGGCUUCGCUGUGGCAUUAGGACGAUGCAGAGGGGUUGUUGUAACUUCGGUUCUCUCCCAUUCGCGCACGUCGUCGCAGCGUUUAUGUCCGGUGUCGGCGUGGUGCACUUCUCCCCUAGUAGGACGUCGCGACCCGUUGGGUGUCGGACUAAGGCCCGGUGCGGUUGCCCGUCGCGGUGGAUCGAUUAUCGCCAUGACAGACCCCCGGUGUUCUAUCCCGUCCGACCGCCUCUGACGGUAGGUGCGAUGGUAUUCGGCCGCAAAAUCUAUUCGAACGAAAAAAUUGUGCGUCAUUGGCUCGUCGCAAGCGCGAUCAGCGUAACUGGGUUGUACGGACUUUGCGCCGUCCUCGGGCCUGAUCAGCUGUUGGCAGACGAUGUCCUCUGACCGGCCGCUUACCUGUUUGCGACGCUUUUGCUUUGGGUACUCUCAGGACCCGUCUUGAAACACGGACCAAGGAGUCUAACAUGUGCGCGAGUCAUUGGGACAGAUAAAACCUAAAGGCGAAAUGAAAGUGAACGUUGACCUUGCGUCGACAGAGGGAGGAUGGGCUGCGCAAAGCAGCCUCGCACUCCCGGGGCGUCUCGCUCUCAUUGCGAGGAGAGGCGCACCCAGAGCGUACACGUUGGGACCCGAAAGAUGGUGAACUAUGCCUGGUCAGGACGAAGUCAGGGGAAACCCUGAUGGAGGUCCGUAGCGAUUCUGACGUGCAAAUCGAUCGUCGGAACUGGGUAUAGGGGCGAAAGACUAAUCGAACCAUCUAGUAGCUGGUUCCCUCCGAAGUUUCCCUCAGGAUAGCUGGCACUCGGAUCGAGACUUUUUCGAACGUACCUUUUCUUGAGUCUCAUCUGGUAAAGCGAAUGAUUAGAGGCCUUGGGGCCGAAACGACCUCAACCUAUUCUCAAACUUUAAAUGGGUGAGAUCUCUGGCUUGUUUGA